CCUACGGGUGGCAGCAGUGAGGAAUAUUGCGCAAUGGGCGAAAGCCUGACGCAGCCACGCCGCGUGCAGGAAGACACCCCUCUGGGGCGUAAACUGCUUUUGUGCGAGAAGAAGGCCCUCCUCGGGAGGGAUUGACGGUACCGCACGAAUAAGGACCGGCUAACUCCGUGCCAGCAGCCGCGGUAAUACGGAGGGUCCAAGCGUUGUCCGGAAUCACUGGGUGUAAAGGGUGCGUAGGCGGAUUUGUAAGUCAGAGGUGAAAGCCCACGGCUUAACCGUGGAACUGCCUUUGAUACUGCAAGUCUUGAGUCCUGGAGGGGCUGGCGGAAUUCGUGGUGUAGCGGUGAAAUGCGUAGAUAUCACGAGGAACACCGGAGGUGUAGACGGCCAGCUGGACAGGUACUGACGCUGAGGCACGAAAGCGUGGGGAGCGAACAGGA
rnacentral:rRNA from 1 species